UUUUUUUAAUCAACCACAAUUAUUUCUCUGUUUACAAAUCUGGAAGAAAAAAUAGAUUCAACCUUUUGAAAAUAGUUGACAUUAGAAUGAAUGGAAUAGAAUUGAAGCAUUUGAUUCUGUAUAUGUUCUUAUUCCGACAAUAUCAUGAUGGAUCAAAAUAAUUUUGGAUCUCCUUCAACAGUUUCCUUGAAGACUAUUAAGAUACAUUUUAUUUAAAUAGUAUCUAUUCCCUGCCUCCAUGAGCUCCUGGAAGGUAAGGGCCAUGUUUAUUUUUUUAAUAGCACCAACACCUACCGCUCUACCAGAAACUCAGUUAAUUGGUAUUAAAGAGCAUUCUAUAAGAAGUGUUUUCAAUGUGAAUAACCAUCACAAUCCAGAAGUCUCCAGUAUCUGUACCCUUUGAUUAGUACCUGAUUUUUAAAAUGUCUCCUUUACUAACCGUUAUAUGUUAUCUCAAGGUAAGUAGAAACUAGUCAUUUCCUCAAAAUCUUAAGAUCCAGCAAGUGUUUUUAAUGUCAGCCAGGUUUAUGUGCUAUUUUUCACCUUCCAAAGAAUAUGGUGGGAGGCAAUGAAAGAUAAUAGCUUGGUUUCACCUAGUCGAGACCAGUGGAUUGAUCUGGGACUUCCCUGUGUAUUGCCCAGAAUGGCCUUAACACCCUACAGUUAAUGGUCCCAGAACUUUCUACAGUAGUGUUUUUAUUUGGAUAGGUGUGCAGUUCUGGCUAAUUUAGAGGGCUCAGCUAGGAUUUCUCAACAGUGAAUCCAGUACUUAUACACUGUGAAGCUUAAAAAGACACUUUGUAAAGAAAGUCACUUUAAGCCAGUGGGGAGCCCAUCUUGUGCAGCCAUGUAAAAUGUCCUGAGAUGUUGAGCAUUCAGUCUGGCUUGUAAGCAUAUGUCUUCUCAUCUGUAAAUUUUCAUUUUUGCAUCUUUGUCUUGAGACUUUCAGAAAUCCCCACCUUGUUCUGUAGUUUCAGCCUCCCCACCCUCUCCCAGAUCACAUUUCCACUGAAUCUUGUGUUCUCUGUAUUUCCAUACUAUGUCUUAACCACCCCUCUAACUUUGACAUGAGCGACUUUUCUGUUCACAGGAGGCUCACCCAGGAAACUGGGACUAUUCCUACAACAAAGUCCUACUCAUCUAGUGCUUUUCUGUGGAGUGCACUGUAGAUUAGUUCCUUUUCCUCACGUCAUGCAUCUGAGCUAUGGUUAUAUUCUGUUCUUAAGAUCCAACCUCUUUUCCUAAGAACUCUGACUUUCUGUAUAUGAUUCCCUUCCAUCAGAAGCACUGCCCCUGGGUUCCCUUCCCCCCACCCUUUUGCCCCUUGUCUCACCCCCCAGAACUCCAUAUCUUAUUACAAGUUAUUGUGCUUGUAGGAAUAGAGAAUAUUACACCAUGCCGAGAUGUGGAGGCUGGGGAGUGGCUGAGCCUACUAGCUAAUGACCUGAACAUCGUGGCACUGGGCCUACAUUUGAACUUCAGUAAAAUGGCAAGACCUCACACAUUGGACCUUCAGAGUUAACUCAGGAGGCAACUUUGGAAGCCCACACUUCCCUCUUAGCUAAAGCACGGCACGGCCUGCUGUCCCAUUGCCCAGGAAGCGCAUAGCUAACCACUCUCAGCCAUGAUUUGGUCCCAGCUCCUAGAGCUCUGGCUUGCUGAAAAAAUACAGCCCAACCAGAUGGGAACUCCUGCCUGGCACUGGGGCUUCUAAGCCAUCAGGCAUCAUGGCGGAUGUGAAGGGAACCAACUCGGAAGCCUCUCCGGGAAAUCAGUGCCAAAGGUGAGGAGCUAGAUAUGAAGAUACUGGAAGCUUGUUGUCCCCCUGUGGGAUGCUGUGUUAGGUGGAUGUCUACAUCAGGCACCCUACCUGAACACCCACCUGGCAGCCACCUAAGGCCACCUGAGCACCCAAGUGCCCUCCAAUUCCCCAAAUGUAACAAGUUAGAAAUCCACAGAUGGUAAAGUCUUCAGGCAGACUAAAGACAGAAGUCCUCAGGGAGGCCAGGAAUGGGAAGCAAGGGAAUGGAGUGAAGUAGGGAGAACAGUGUUUACAUUUCAAAGAAUGUAGGCUUUGGUGGACGGUCUCUGGUACUUGGUCUGACGUACACAACGUUGUUUUGUGGAAUAGUUUGACUAGCCCAAAAUAGAAUAUGCUAUUUACAACUUUUCUUCACGAAGUUAACUGGGAGAGAAGGUUGGGUGAUUUCCUGAGGCAGCAUGACACUGAUGAGGUCCUGCCUUGGCAGCGCUGACAUCAGAGGUCAAGAGUAACUGCCUUGUUUUCUACAGGUGUUAGAGCAGCUUCAUUUAAACAUGUGAAGGACCCCCAGCCCCAUCCCUGUCUUCCACAAGGUUGCUUUGUGUCUUACUGAAGCCCCUGGCUGUGCUUUUCUGGAACAGUGACACAGCAGACACUCCUUUACCUCAAGGUACUUCAGACUGAUGAUAUGGUUCACCUGCUUUAGAUCACAGAUCUGAGCUGUCCACUCAGGAAUCACGCACUGAGCUUAGAAUUCAGAAGCACAAAAUUAUAGAUUAAUUCACUCAAGGGAAAAAAAUUCCAUCUUCCAUGGUUUUGGCCAGUGAGGUUACCGUGUGAGUCUUCUGUCAGGAAGGUGACUGGUAGACCUUAGAUUAGAAUCCGUACCUGUAAAGCAGGUUAUCUGUAUAGAAACAUCCUCUUAAUGUCACCAUCUCACUUUGCCUCCCUUGCUUCAGAAGGUUGCUUCUACAAAUGUGCUUCACAAAGGAAUCGGGAAAGGACUAAUCCCAGAAGUAUGCUUAAGUACGGUGACCUAGCAGCUUGGGUUUGGCCAGCUCUUUCUUCCUCUGACACAGUAUUCCUGACGUAUACUCUUUCCUUCCAGGUUCAUUACCUUCUUGAUAUGAUACCUACUUGUUUAGGCCAUGAAAUUUCACUGUGAAUAAGCAAAGAUUUGGCAGGAUGUUCACCACUAGAGCAAGCACCUGAAGGAAACCUUGGCCUCACCUCGGCAUAUGUGACUAUUGCUGUUUCACAGGAGAUCCAUUCUAGAAAUGCCUUUGCUCAUUGCUGAACUGAUUAACAAAACCUUGAAGAAAGCACAAAGUUUUAGUUCAAAAAAUAAUCCAGCUUCUCUGUCAUCAUCCCUUGCCUUCUUAGGCCUGUCCAAACUGUACUGGUAAGAACUUCACAUUCAAAAAAAGUUACGGUCAGUGAUUCUUCAUACAUAAAAUUCAAGUGAUUUC